CAGCCGCCACGGUAAUACGAAGGGUGCAAGCGUUAAUCGGAAUUACUGGGCGUAAAGCGUGCGUAGGCGGUGAGUUAAGUCUGCUGUGGAAUCCCCGGGCUCAACCUGGGAAUGGCAGUGGAUACUGGCUCGCUAGAGUGUGUCAGAGGAUGGUGGAAUUCCCGGUGUAGCGGUGAAGUGCGUAGAGAUCGGGAGGAACAUCAGUGGCGAAGGCGGCCAUCUGGGACAACACUGACGCUGGGGCACGAAAGCGUGGGGAGCAAACAGGAUUAGAUACCCGCGUAGUCCCUGUCUCUUAUAA
rnacentral:rRNA from 1 species